rnacentral:rRNA from 1 species
UACGGAGGGUGCAAGCAUUAAUCGGAUUUAUUGGGCGUAAAGGGCGCGUAGGCGGAGCUGUAAGUCAGAUGUGAAAUCCCGGGGCUCACCCCCGGAACAGCAUUUGAAACUGCAGCCCUUGAGGGUAGGCGGAGAAAAUGGAAUUCCACAAGUAGCGGUGAAAUGCGUAGAGAUGUGGAAGAACACCAGUGGCGAAGGCGGUUUUCUAGCUUACUCCUGACGCUAAAGCGCGAAAGCAAGGGGAGCAAACAGG